rnacentral:rRNA from 1 species
AGAGUUUGAUCAUGGCUCAGAUUGAACGCUGGCGGCAUGCCUUACACAUGCAAGUCGAACGGCAGCACGGGAGCUUGCUCCUGGUGGCGAGUGGCGAACGGGUGAGUAAUAUAUCGGAACAUACCCUAGAGUGGGGGAUAACGUAGCGAAAGUUACGCUAAUACCGCAUACGAUCUACGGAUGAAAGUGGGGGAUCGCAAGACCUCACGCUCAUGGAGUGGCCGAUAUCUGAUUAGCUAGUUGGUGGGGUAAAAGCUCACCAAGGCGACGAUCAGUAGCUGGUCUGAGAGGACGACCAGCCACACUGGAACUGAGACACGGUCCAGACUCCUACGGGAGGCAGCAGUGGGGAAUUUUGGACAAUGGGCGCAAGCCUGAUCCAGCAAUGCCGCGUGAGUGAAGAAGGCCUUCGGGUUGUAAAGCUCUUUUGUCAGGGAAGAAACGGUUUGGGCUAAUACCCUGGACUAAUGACGGUACCUGAAGAAUAAGCACCGGCUAACUACGUGCCAGCAGCCGCGGUAAUA